rnacentral:lncRNA from 1 species
AGCAUUUUUACCUGGCGUGCAAAAUAAAAGCACACUCCGAGUCUUUUAAUUAAAGCCGUCUACUGAAGGCAUGUGCGACUCGUCCUCGUCAGCGGGUGAAAGAAACACUUCCAGCCAUAGCGGCUGCUGUUCUGAGGAGACGGAGAGAAGAAGGGAUUUAAAAAACUGUUCUAGGUCGAGCUCUCCCACUAACAAAGACUCUGAGUCUCUCCCAGCAGGAUGUUCUGAAGAGAGAACUGGAGACAUAUAUGCUUCAGACUUUUCUAGGUCGAGCUCUCCCACUAACAAAGACUCAGAGUCUCUCCCAGCAGGAUGUUCUGGAGAGGGAACUGGAGAUGUAUAUAUUUUAGAUAAAGACUCUUCUAGAUCAAGCUCUCCUUCUAUCAAAGACUCAGAGUCUCUCCCAGCUGGAGUGGGAACUGGGGAUGGAUAUGCUUCAGGUAAGAUCUGUAAGGAGAUCAGCUCCAGUAGGUCUGAGAGCAGCAGUGUGGAGGUCAGAUGCAGACCUCAGGUCAGAUAUAAGACCAGCGCUCAGCUGAUUAAGAAGAAGCUGGACCAGAUCAAAGCUGAGCUGCAGAAACUUUCAGAGCAGCACCUGCGUCUGCGUCCAGAACGGAAGGCGUAUCAUCCUUUUGUGUGGAACAGCCUGAGUCCGUACAGAGACACGGCCCAGAUCGACUAUCUGCUCGCCGGGGCUUCUGACCCCCGCGCCCCUGAUGGAGGACCCUUAAUGAGGUCAGGAAGCGCCCGCCUGUAGAUCUGACCCGACCUGUCAGUCUGUGCCGGUGUGAAAAAUGACUCGCAUGUAUGAUUUUCACUUUAAUAAGCAUAAAGUUGGAGCGUAGCAUGGUUAAUGACUUCGUUUUAUGGGAAUCAGCCCACAGAACUGCUCUAUACUCCACCCACAGAAAUGACUAUAUUAUAUUACACUCUUCUGGCACCAUGCUCCCACUGCCCUGCUAAAAUUCACUCCAUAGUGUUGCUUAUUCUUGCAGUGAGAACAGCAAACAUGAAAUCCUCUUUAAAUUAAGUUUAAGUAUCUGAAAUUUAUUUUUAUACAUUGCUCUCAGGAUUUUAUAAAAACAUUUGACUGAUUUUUAAUUAAGUAAUUGGAUCUACUGAACAUUUCUCCUUCCAUUUUUUAGGUAUUCUAGCUUAUUUUAAGCAUUAUUUCUUGAGAAAACUUUAGUUAUCAUCAUUUCCUCAAUUAAUCAAAAUGAUGUGUCAAUAGAAUUAAAU